rnacentral:rRNA from 1 species
GAUGAACGCUGGCGGCGUGCUUAACACAUGCAAGUCGAGCGAAGCACUUUGAAGUUUUCGGACAUUAAAGUGACUGAGCGGCGGACGGGUGAGUAACGCGUGGGUAACCUGCCUCAUACAGGGGGAUAACAGUUAGAAAUGACUGCUAAUACCGCAUAAGCACACAGGAUUGCAUGAUCCAGUGUGAAAAACUCCGGUGGUAUGAGAUGGACCCGCGUCUGAUUAGGUAGUUGGUGAGGUAACGGCUCACCAAGCCGACGAUCAGUAGCCGACCUGAGAGGGCGACCGGCCACAUUGGGACUGAGACACGGCCCAAACUCCUACGGGAGGCAGCAGUGGGGAAUAUUGCACAAUGGGGGAAACCCUGAUGCAGCGACGCCGCGUGAAGGAAGAAGUAUUUCGGUAUGUAAACUUCUAUCAGCAGGGAAGAAAAUG